rnacentral:rRNA from 1 species
CCUACGGGUGGCAGCAGUGAGGAAUAUUGGUCAAUGGGCGCAAGCCUGAACCAGCCAAGCCGCGUGAGGGACGAAGGUGCUAUGGAUUGUAAACAUCUUUUGUCGGGGGGCAAAAGACACCUCGAGUGGCCUUCCCAGGGUACUCGAAGAAAAAGCAUCGGCUAACUCCUUGCCAGCAGCCGCGGUAAUACGGUGGAUGAGAGCGUUAUCCGGAUUUAUUGGGUUUAACGGGUGCGUAGGCGGAAUGUGAAGUCAGCGGUAAAACUCAGGGGCUCAACCGCGUCGAGCCGUUGAAACUGGUUGUCUUGAGUGUGCGAGAGGGAUGCAGAAUGCGUGGUGUAGCGGUGAAAUGCGUAGAUAUGGCGCAGAACUCCGAUUGCGAAGGCAGCAUACCGGCGAUAAACUGACGCUCAGGCACGAAAGCGUGGGUAUCGAACAGGAUUAGAUACCCGUGUAGUC